GUAAGGAGAAGAGACUGAUUUGGUUAUUUAUAGCGGAAGAUGGAAAAUUAAUUACAAAGAGGAUUAAAGAGCUCGCACGUUCGAGAGGGAGAAAGAGAUGAUGACACGUGUGUGGUUUAUGAAGCGCCACAUUUGUAUAGGAGAAGACUGAAGUCGUGGCUUAUUCACGGUCGAGAGACUCGCGAUCGGUCCGUGCAGGCUCGUCGUGGUUCUCUUGGAGCAUGAUUUUUAGAGUUUUUAAGGUGGGGUUUUUAACGGAAUAUAAAAAUCCGUCUCUUAAUUUUUAAUUAAAAAGAUUAAGAAUCAGUUCUUAAAACUCUUAUUUAAUAGUAUGUUCUUACCUUCUUUAGUUAAAAGUUAAAAAACGAAUUCU
rnacentral:lncRNA from 1 species